AGUCGAGUGGAUUGAGCUACGCUUCUUUGGAUAAUGGGAGGCAUUGGCGCUUACCAUCACCCUACCACAUGAUGAGGAGGUCUUUUUUCCUGGAGAUUGCAUCGUUUGGAUGAUUGGCCGUUCAUGAGUGGAGGACAGCAACGGUUGCCGGGCCGCCGACAAUGAGAUGCCUGUCUCCAUGGCAACAGCCAGCAGCCACUGUGAGUAGUGAUGUGCAUAUACUUCAAAGUGUUCUACACUUGACGGACCCCAAGAGCACAGACUCAUAAUGUGAGUAACAUCUCCCUGAAUGGACAGUCUGACACAGGAACAGCCACUGCCAAGUAACUACAUUGUAUGUCACUUCCUGAAGUGCCCUCUUGUGGCCUAUUUGAGAAAAUGUCAGGCAAAAUGUGCAAUUUCAAGAUAUUCAUUCAAGUCGAAAGUAAGUACUGCUACAGUUUUAGAGUGCAUGAUGUAACAUAAUAAACAGUCAAUUAUACAGCAUUUUUCAUAAUAAUUUUUGCUGUAACAUUACCAUAACAAAUCUAGCAAGUUUUUCUUGCUCAUAAAUUGUUGACAUUUCAUGUUCUUGCCCUGCGAGCUAUGCAGUUAACAUGGUUAAGUAAGUAACUUUGAACUCAAUGUAUUGUAUAUGAAAGACAAAAAUGGCUUGAAGCUUUUAAUUAUGUCCAAAAAAAUACAUGGUACACAUGUUUGCAUUCUGCAGAUAUUUAUUAAUAAUCGCAAUUUCCUCAUUAAGAGUUCUCUUCGACAAGUAGAAAGUUUCUUGAUGAGAACAGUACUAAAAUGCCAAUAAAGGGAAAUACAUUUGCCCCAAAUGACAUGAAAUCGUGCACGAGAAAUCAAAAACUGAAUUUAUGAAAAAUAUUUAAUAAAUAGUGAAGGUCAAGUGUGUCAGUGUUGUUUUAAAACCAUAAUCUCCUAAUUUUAAAAACCAAUUACAAGAAUGCUGGGUCGAGCAUGCUCCCUGUAUUUUUAUGCAUGCUAAAAGUGUGCAGGGUUAAUUUUAUGGACUUUUUAAAAAUUAAAACAAGUUUGUAACCUAACCACAUUUAAUACACAUGCGUGCUUUAAUUACAAAACCUUAUGAUUGAGUUCUCGAUUGUUAGAAGAGGAAUGGUUUUUCUUCAGCACUGACUGAACCAGUUGUCGAGUCUUGCAAUUCCCAGUGGAUGCCAUGACAUCAGUACUGCACUGAUGUGACAGCACAUUACAAACCGCCAGCAUGAUUUAUUCAUUUUCUCGAUAUCGUUCUUGGCCUACAUGCGGCAGUCUGCCGGCACGGCCUGCCGUCGUUAGUUCUUAUCGUCGUCGAUCCGAAGAGCUGUGACCGGCAGACUACUCAUAAUCGCUGGCGACUGCUCUUUAUGCAUGAACUGACUAUGAUGUCAACCCUACAGGCAGUCAUCAUAAUGAGCCAUCCCUGUCUUUUAUUAUUAGUAGUAUUAAUAUUUUUAAGAAUGACAAAUGACAGAAUGUAGUGCAUGGCAUGGCCAGCGUGCAUGGUAUAAUCAAUGAAAUUUUGUUGGGGCUAUAACAUAGUGGUAUUUUUUUUGCAGUCACAAUCUAAUUGAAAUAAAUAAUGGGCAUUUUCUAUUCUUUAUUAAAUAAUCGUUAGAAGUGUAUUACAUUAUGAUGUUAAGGCCCAUGUUUCCUACUUUUAAAACAUUAAACUGCAUGUUGAUUUAACCAGCAAUUCAGCACAGACCAUGUCUCACAGUCAUGAAUGCGUGCCCAUGUUAUUUCUGUGCUCCAGCUAACCUACUAUUUUUAAGAAACAGAAUUUGAGAAAAUGUAGAGAAUUUUACCAGCCAUUACCAUUUUUUUGCAGACGGAAUAUGCAAAGGUUUGGCAUGUCAGCUUACAUUUGUACAUCUAACACCCUUUGUUUUUUUUGUUUUUUUACCAUGAAGUCGAAAAACCAGGAGCAGAAACUCAAUUCAACAGUUGCAAUGUGUUAGAAUUUACGAUUAUUCAGAAAUAUUGAAAGAUCAAGUGUUUAAUUCAACUUUACUGAGCAGCUCAUCAAUUUCUUUGGUAAAAUAACUUAAAUUGAAAAUGAAGGGGACUGCACCUUGCCAGGAUUUAAUUCCUUCAUGUCAAAUGAUGAAUCUUUUGACUGAAAUUAAAAAAAAAUCGCAUUUUGUUUUUAAUUUACUAUUGAUCACUUUGUUCUAAAGGUAACACGAAUUUCGUCUUUUUUUCACAAAAGGAUCAGACUUUAUUUUGCAGAAAAGCCAAAACCUGAAGUUGUGAUCAAUUUGCACUGUGUGGCACAUCACACAUAUUAUAAACCAAAGAAAUGAAUUCCAUUGAAUUGCCAAUUGGGCGGAGACCCAAUAUUGCUGAGCGGGAAAGAUUUUAGCUUAACCAAAACAGAACAAUACUCAGCCCUGUCAAAACCAGGUUACUGGUUGUGACAGCAUACAGUAUUGAAAGGAAAAUUGGGCCUGAUCUGUCCAUUUUGUUAUCGUUUUAAAUGUUUUCACAAAUUAUCUCUCUCUGAUCAUUUAACAUAGGUUUACUGUUUUUAAAAAUGCUUCAUGUAUUAUUGCAGGGUUUUGAUGAUUUUUGUUUAAAUGUAUUUUUUUGUCCAUUCAUGGUUGAGUUAUGUGUAUGUAUAUUAACCAUUGUACAACUUACUUUGUAUAUAAAGAUCGCAAGUUCUAUGCAAUUAAUCUUGUUACAUAAAUUUAAAAGUUACCGACGUGAAUUCGGUAGCAUGUUUUAGCUGUUGAAUAUUCGUUAAGAACUAUUUUAGCAAUAUACAUGCACAAGCAGUGGAGAGUUUUUGCAUUUUGCUAUCUUUAAGUAUGUAUAAAAAAAUAUCCAACGCGGGUUUUCUUAUUCCGUUGAUUAGUAUUCAUAAGUAAUGAAUAUACAUGUUGUUAUGUUGAUGAAUAUUCAUUGUUAUUCAACAUCUAUGUUUAUCUCCAAGCCGGACGUUAAACAUUAAUGUCAUAGGUAAGAACAAGGUUGCCAAAUAUCUAUGUUAUAACUACAUACAUUAUAAGGAAAAUGAUAGAUAGGCCUUAAAUUCAUAAUUUUAAAAAUGAUAAGAAUUCCCAUAAUUGUAUAAAUUUCUAAGAUUGAAUGUUACCGUAUGCUGCCUGCAACAGACGUAAUUGCUAUGUUAAAGGGUUUUUUUGGCCUGUGUGUACUCAAGGUUUUUAAACCACUUGUAUUUUUUUGGUAGUGAAAAACAAGCAAAAUAUGGAUUUAGUCCUAGCAUUUUUUGUCUGAUUUUCUGAAGCAAGCGAUAGUUUUUGUUUUCUUUUUAAUUUUUUUCGUUAUUUUUUUUUCUUUUAAUCUAGCCUAAAAGUGUACUUGGGGGCAAAUUGUUCAGUACUGCAAAUGGCAUACACUGAAUGUUCAGAAAUUUAAAAGGCUAUUUAAAUUAAAAAGCCAUGCAUGACGACAAAUUACUUGUGACUUUUUUUGUUUUUACCUUUUCCUGAUAUUUUUGUUCAAAAUAUAGAUUUAAAAAUGCUGUUUUAGUCAUUCUGCCCCAUUGAUUUUGUGAAUUUUUUGUAGCGACUUUAAACUGAAAAUAAAAUUGAAGUUCAGUACACAUAUUGGAAUUUUAGUUGUGAAUAAACAUAUUUUACUUCCAACGUCAGUACAUGUAUAAGACGUGCGGCGUGUCAAAUGUUGCGACACACAUUUAUUGAAUAAUCUUCAUAAUCAAUAUCAUGACGUAGAUGACCUGUCUAAGCAAACAUAGACUUGCCGCAAGUGCGGUGCAGGUUCGUGUAGCAAAGAAAACCUGACAUUUUUAACAACUAAAAAAAGACUUCUUGUGUAUUUUGUGUCAAGUCCAGAAAACCCCAUUACAGACUCUUAAUAAAGAUCUAUUCUAUCAUGUUCAGGUUUUAUAAAAUAUAAAAAUAAUUACGAACAAAGGAAAUUGCUGAGUGUGAUCUUUGAAAAAAAAAUGGAAAGCUAAGUCAGUGCAAAUUUGAAAGGUCUUGGAACUUGUCUAAAAUGCAUGAUGUGUCUGUCCGAAAUGCUCCAGUCAAAGCUUGAUAUACAAUUGUGGCAGCAUCAUAUAUGCUAUAAAAAAAGGAGUACAUAUUUUUCUGUAAUAAGCUGUCUUGGUGUGUCACAUUGAAGUUUGCACGCCCCAAAGAAGCCAUUGUAUACAUUUCAAACAUCAUACCGGUAAUUCACUAUCAUCCAAGAUUUGUAGACAUCAAUAUUAUAUACCGGUACAAUAAACAGCCCUUGUUCACCUGAAGAAGUGGAAUUUUCAGCACUUUGAAAACAAAGUAACGGUAUACAUCCAUGUACCGGUAUUAUUAAAAUUCAAUACCAUCUCUCUAUUAACCUAUCGCAGAAGAAUCGCGUCAACGCAGCUUGUGGAAUAUUGUCCAAUGACAUGAUACACAAAUGGACGCGGAACGCGCAAAAUCAGAGACGAGCAUAACUUAACAUGCAAAAUUCCACAGGGUUGUCUAAGGGGCGUGGCUAACUCGCAAACGGCGAUAGGUCAAUCAACCUCUUAUGUACAUGUAUACAAUGGCUAAACUUAAUAUAUCAGGAUAUGUCUUUGUGACAGAUAAAUGUAUAUUAUGACAUCACAGCUUAUUUAAAGUAUCCCAACUGACUGUUGAAAAAAAAAGCUGUAUUGGAAUGUUUGAGCUUCAAAAAAAUAUAUAUCUCUGUAUAAAGAAGUUGAAGUUGAUGUGGUCAUGUUCUAAAGAACUAUUCAAAGAAACUGUGAAUUUAAAUAAAUAUUUCAAAAUACGAGCCUAAUAUCUUCUCUACUUUAUUAUAAAAAAUAAAGGCCUAUACAUUGCCAUACAUUUUACUGGACAAUAACCAUGAACGUAAUUUCCAGAGAUAAAGUAGCGGUAGCUUCCAUUUUACUCUGUAUAAUAUUAAAAAGGAAAAGAAAAUAUCUUAGUGUAAAAUGUUGGAAAUUGGGUAAACUAAUGAUUUAUUUCAAUAGUACUUUUGAUUAUUUCUCAUUUUUGCCCGUGAAUAUCAAGGUCAGAUUUUCUUGUUUUGUAUUCAUAAUUUUUUUUUUAUAAACUAUGGUUUCAGAUGGUUAUAUAUUUGUAUAGUAAUAGUAAUGCUAAUUUUAGAGCAUUGAGUUAUUUCUUUCUGUACAUUUCUGUUCUUUUUUUUUUUUAGGAAUUCUGUAUGGAUUCAAGUUCUGUAUGUAUAAUGUUACAUAGUACUAUUAAUAAGAGCUCCCAAUUAUUUUAAUAGAAGAGUAUAACAUGAAUUAAGUUUUUGAAAUAUAUUCUUGGAAUUGCAUAGAAGUCAAACAUUUUGCCCUCAGUUUCUUUUAGAAGAAAAAAAAAGAAUAGGAAAUAUUUUUUUUGUAUUUGUAACCUGAAAUUUAAGAAGAAAUAAAUAUCCCACAUCUCAAUAACAAAGUUCAUUACUUUGUUUGAUAUUCUGGGUUGUUUUAAAUUUGGAAUUUCUUUAUAUCCAGUUGUGAUUUGUAUUAUUAUUAUUUACUCACCUCUGUUACAUGUACGUCCUUUUUAAUGUUUUUCUUGAACAGUUGAAUAUUUCUGAGUUAUCUAUUCAGUAUUUUUAACAUAGAAAGACUAUCAUAUGUCAUUCAUGUGUGAUAGUUUAUUCUUGUGCAUUUGACAGUUACACUGACAUUUUACAAAUAUUAAUAUAAGCUUCACGACGACUAACAAUUACAGUACGUAUAUAUAUGUGUGUGUGUACGGACUUAUCCAGCCGCCACAAUUGGAAGGCAAAACUGAGGUGGCACCACAUUCACAUGCACACACUCUUGUUUUACUAUACUCCCGAGGACAAUGCUUUGUGUUUUCCUUUUUCCCUGUAAUACAACACUCUCCCAUAGACUAAGCACACAAACCUACACGUACUAUAGAGGACCGUUUUGAACAAAAGACCCAACUCCAGAGGACUGACAGGAUCUCUUGUUCUCCCUUUGUGUGUCUGUUCUGUCUGUUCUCGGGGGUUAUGUAGAAUGAGUACAUAUGUGUACACAUGAACGUGUGGUGCUUAUAGUCUAUGGGAGAGUGUUACAGGGACAAAGGAAAACACAAAGUAUUGUCCUCGGGAGUAUAGUAAAACAAGAGUGCGUGCACUCAUCGGUGCUGCUUAGAGCAAUGCAGAGUGCAAAUUUGCCAAAGUUCAGGCGCAGCUGAAAUAUCAAGAAUGCGUCUGACUCAUGCGUCUGACAUGUGCCACUCAAUAAAGUCUUUUUAUUGUGGUCACGGAUUAGUUAUAUUUUGUUACAAUUAUGGUGUAAAGACUAUUAACUCAGAUGUAUGAAUUAACUCCAGUGUAUCAAUCAACAUAUAUAUCAGCUCCUGUUGUUAACAUUUACUGCUUAUAAACAUGUUCAUGUUGGGCAUACUUAUUUGA